rnacentral:rRNA from 1 species
GUCCAGACUCCUACGGGAGGCAGCAGUGGGGAAUAUUGCACAAUGGGGGAAACCCUGAUGCAGCGACGCCGCGUGAGUGAAGAAGUAUUUCGGUAUGUAAAGCUCUAUCAGCAGGGAAGAUAAUGACGGUACCUGAGUAAGAAGCCCCGGCUAACUACGUGCCAGCAGCCGCGGUAAUACGUAGGGGGCAAGCGUUAUCCGGAUUUACUGGGUGUAAAGGGAGCGUAGACGGCAUGGCAAGUCUGAAGUGAAAGCCCGGGGCUCAACCGCGGGACUGCUUUGGAAACUGUUAAGCUGGAGUGCAGGAGAGGUAAGUGGAAUUCCUAGUGUAGCGGUGAAAUGCGUAGAUAUUAGGAGGAACACCAGUGGCGAAGGCGGCUUACUGGACUGUAACUGACGUUGAGGCUCGAAAGCGUGGGGAGCAAACAGGAUUAGAUACCCGGGUAUG